GCCAACAUUACUGCUGAUUCUUACUGUAUAUCAAUAGACAAUAGACACUGUGUUUGUGCGCAAUGCUCGUAUUUACCAUGUAAUGAAGAUCUGGCUAAUGCCGCAAUCUCUUGAUGGUAAGUGCUCUUCUCGAUUUUGGUAACAUUCAACGGUGUCUUCAACAUUUACCGUGAAGGAAAAAACAACCAUUAUAAAGGAUGACUCAUACACUACAUUAAUGAUGGAUGGCAAGCAGUGGAGGCUAUUAUACAGAUGUACUCGUACAUGCUAUGACUACCAAGAAAUCCUUUCAAACGGAUCUAAAGAGCACUCAUGUUUUCAAGGUAGAGAAAACGUGUUUUCAUUGUUUUUACACACUCACACACACACACACAACACACACACACACACACACACACACACACACACACACACACACACACACACACACAUUGCACUAUGAUAUGAAGGGCCAUUGAAAGAUAUUAUUGUGAAACUACAGAACAACCCCCCUCCUCUCUACCCUCCUCCCUUGGUCUGGUCUAUCCAUCCUCUACUCUACUCCAUUGGUGUGGUCUGUCAAUCCUCUCUACUCUACUCCCCCAGGUCUGGUCUGUCAAUCCUCUACUCUCUACUCUCAUUGGUCUGGUCUGUCAAUCUCUCUACUCUACUCCAUUGGUCCUGGUCUGUCAAUUCUCUCUACUCUACUCCAUUGGUCUGGUCUGUCAAUUCUCUCUAUCUACUCCCCUGGUCUGGUCUGUCAAUCUCUUCUACUCUAUCAUUGGUCUGGUCUGUCAAUCCUCUCUACUCUACUCCAUUGGUCUGGUCUGUCAAUCCUCUCUACUCUACUCCCUUAGUAUGGUCUGCCUAUCCUGUAAAGUCACACCGCAAACAUUGUAUCUAGUGUUGACACGCGCUUUUAUUCAGCAUUGCUUUUUAUAGCCUAGUUUCGUCCACGUGUCUAUAAUGUAGACAGUUAGCUGAUCCCACGUCAAUCUCCGUUUGCGCUCUCAAUACUGAAACGUUUUGAAACAGCCUGGAAACAGGGGCUCUGCGAGCUCAGAUGUUCCCGCGCUGGCGAUUAUGUCAACCAGUACUGAGAGACGUGAAAAUCCUCUAGCGCCGCAGAGAGACCCAAGCUCCCGCAUCACUGAAGAAAAUCUGGGAGAUAUGUCAUGCCUUCGAGUUUCACAUGACCCCAGGCGCCACUACACUUUACACUACCGUCACCCCUCCUACCUCUUCACCCACUCUCCCCUACUGAACGCGAGCUGAGAGCUCGGAAUGGCUAAGGCAUCCCCGGCAUUCAUCCCCACACAGGCGGGUGAAGAUCAUGGCACUCUUGUGUUUCACAUGCACGGAAACACACACAUAUCCAUUUUGUAAAAUAACGAGGACAUGCCCGGUGUUUUACUGACAAGCCAUGGGCUAAUCUGGCACAGUCUAGUGAACAGAAAGCAAGGUGCCGAGGUUGCCAUUACUCAGUUUAAAAUCCGAGACUCACUUGUGACAUCCACUGUCGUUUCUGUUCAACUAUUCCUUUACCAUAAACUCUCUAUAGUGACGACAGGACUAUGAAGCAUUCUCAACUCAGAAAAUUAAACGAAAACAUCAGCAGCACCGGCAGUAGGCUAUAUAUUAAUUGAGUAAUUGGCAUUCCGCGUAUCUGCUCGGUGUAUUGAACUCCCGAUCUUCUCCAAAACUGCAGAUGUAACGGGUGUGAAACGGCUAGCUAGUUAGCGGUGGUGCGCGCUAAAUAGCGUUUCAAUCGGUGAAGUCACUUGCUCUGAGACCUUGAAGUAGUGGUUCCUCUUGCUCUGCAAGGGCCACGGCUUUUGUGGAGCGAUGGGUAACGAUGCUUUGAGGGUGACUGUUGAUGUGUGCAGAGGGUCCC
rnacentral:lncRNA from 1 species